rnacentral:rRNA from 1 species
GACGAACGCUGGCGGCGUGCCUAACACAUGCAAGUCGAGCGAAUGAAGUUCCUUCGGGAAUGGAUUUAGCGGCGGACGGGUGAGUAACACGUGGGCAACCUGCCUCAUAGAGGGGAAUAGCCUCCCGAAAGGGAGAUUAAUACCGCAUAAGAUUGUAGUACCGCAUGAUACAGCAAUUAACGGAGCAAUCUGCUAUGAGAUGGGCGCGCGGGGCAUUAGCUAGUUGGUGAGGUAAUGGCUCACCAAGGCGACGAUGCGUAGCCGACCUGGGAGGGUGAUCGGCCACAUUGGGACUGAGGCACGGCGCAGACACCUACGGGAGGCAGCGGUGGGGAAUAUGGCACAAUGGGGGAGAGCCUAAGGCGACAACGCCGUGUGAGUGAUGACGGCCUUGGGGGUGUAAAGCUCUGUCUUCAGGGACGAUGAUGACGGUACCUUAGGAGGAAGCCACGGCUAACUACGUG